AUGUGGCUCUUCGACCGCCUGCCCCCCAUGGACCACCUCCGCUCCGAGAAGAUGUGCCUCGUGCAGCUCAUUUUCCCCGCCGAGAGCGCGCGCCUCGCCGUCACCUACCUCGGCGAGCUCGGCCUCCUCCAGUUCAAGGACUUGAAUGAGGAUAAGAGUCCUUUUCAGCGUAUAUUCGUCAACCAGGUAAAGCGAUGUGCAGAGAUGAAUCGUAAGCUGAAGUUUUUCAGUGAUCAGAUCAACAAGGCAGGUGUUAAAUCUUCUGUCCGGCCUGCACUACAACCAGAAAUUGAUUUGGAGGAGCUAGAGGCAAAAUUGGGUGAGCAUGAGCAUGAGCUGCUUGAGAUGAAUACUAAUAGUGGGACACUACGGCAGACAUACAAUGAACUUCUUGAAUUCAAACUGGUCUUGUCAAAGGCAGGUAGCAUCCUUGCUGCUUCUCAAAAUCAUGCAACUCCAGCUGACCAUGAGCUAGAUGAACAUAUAUAUGACAAGGAAGUGGAUGACGGAAAUGGCUAUUUGCUUGAACAGGGAAUACAUCAAGGGGCCUCGGAAUCUGGUGUUAGGUUUGUUAGUGGGAUAAUAUUGAAGUCCAAGGCAUUGGCUUUUGAGAGGAUGCUUUUCCGAACUACAAGGGGAAAUAUGUUUUUCAAUGAGGCAUCUGCAGGGGAACCUGUUAUGGAUCCCAGUUCUGGUGAAGAGGUAGAGAAGACUGUUUUUGUAGUUUUCUUUUCGGGGGAGCAGGCUAAAGCAAAAAUAUUGAGGAUUUGUGCUUCAUUUGGAGCAAAUUGCUACCCUGUUCCUGAGGAGAUUGUCAAGCAGAGACAAAUUUUUCGUGAGGUAUCAUCACGCCUCUCCGAUCUAGAAGUCACCUUGGAUGCUGGAACCCAACACAGAAACAAAGCACUCGAGUCAGUAGGGUCCCAAUUAUGGAGGUGGAUACUCAUGGUAAAAAAAGAGAAAGCUGUUUAUGAUACACUAAACAUGCUGAACUUUGAUGUGACAAAGAAAUGCCUUGUUGGAGAAGGAUGGUGUCCAAUAUUUGCUAAAUCUCAGAUUGAGGAUGUUUUGCAGCGUGCAACUCUUCACAGCAACUCACAAGUUGGAAUAAUAUUUCAUGAGAUGGACACUAUUGACUCACCACCUACAUACUUCCGAACUGAUAAAUUUACAAAUGCUUUCCAGGAGAUCGUUGAUGCAUAUGGUGUUGGUCGAUAUGAAGAAAUUAAUCCAGCUGUAUAUUCUGUUAUCACGUUCCCAUUUCUGUUUGCUGUUAUGUUUGGAGAUUGGGGUCAUGGAAUAUGUCUGUUACUUGGAGCUUUGUUUCUUAUACUUCGUGAGAAGAAACUUUCCUCUCAGAAGCUUGAUAGCUUUACGGAGAUGGCAUUUGGUGGGCGUUAUGUGAUUCUUCUGAUGGCGUUGUUCUCAAUAUACUGUGGGCUCAUAUACAACGAAUUCUUUUCUGUUCCAUUCCAUAUCUUUGGCAAAUCUGCAUAUGCGUGUCGGGAAAAUUCCUGCAGUGAUGCAUAUACUGCUGGUCUCGUAAAAGUUCGUGAUCCCUACCCUUUUGGAGUGGACCCAAGUUGGCGUGGAAGUCGAUCUGAGUUACCCUUUCUAAAUUCUUUGAAGAUGAAGAUGUCCAUACUGAUGGGUGUCUCCCAGAUGAACUUAGGAAUUUUAUUGAGUUAUUUUGAUGCAAAGUUCCAUAAAAAUGCCCUAGACAUCAGGUACCAAUUCAUACCGCAGCUGAUUUUUCUGAAUAGCCUCUUUGGUUACUUAUCACUCCUGAUUCUCAUUAAGUGGUGCACGGGAUCUAAAGCCGAUCUGUAUCACGUGAUGAUAUAUAUGUUCCUUGACCCUGCUGGAGAUCUUGGAGAGAAUCAACUUUUUUGGGGACAGAAGGAACUCCAGAUACUUUUGUUGCUUCUGGCCCUAGUAGCUGUUCCAUGGAUGCUCUUCCCAAAGCCUUUCAUUCUAAAGAAACUUCAUAAGGAGAGAUUUCAAGGUCACAGCUAUCGCUUCCUUGGGACAUCUGAAAUGGAUCCAGAUUCUGAACCGGACUCUGCCCGUUCACGUCAUGAUGAUUUCAAUUUUGGUGAAGUUUUUGUGCAUCAAAUGAUACACUCCAUCGAGUUUGUUCUUGGGGCUGUCUCAAAUACUGCAUCAUACCUUCGACUUUGGGCCUUGAGCUUGGCACAUUCUGAGCUAUCAACAGUCUUCUACGAGAAGUUGCUGCUAUUUGCAUGGGGGUAUGACAGCCUCAUCUUUAAGUUAGUGGGGCUCAUAGUUUUUGCUUUUGCUACUGCCUUCAUAUUGCUCGGGAUGGAAUCGUUAAGUGCCUUUCUUCAUGCAUUGCGUCUACACUGGGUCGAGUUCAUGAACAAGUUCUAUCACGGGGAUGGCUACAAAUUCAAACCAUUCUCAUUUGCUACGCUAGCAGACGACGAAGAAUGA
rnacentral:rRNA from 1 species